ACGUAGGGCGCAAGCGUUGUCCGGAUUUAUUGGGCGUAAAGGGCUCGUAGGCGGUUUGUCACGUCGGAUGUGAAAACUCGGAGCUUAACUCCGGGCCUGCAUUCGAUACGGGCAGACUAGAGUUCGGUAGGGGAGACUGGAACUCCUGGUGUAGCGGUGGAAUGCGCAGAUAUCAGGAAGAACACCGAUGGCGAAGGCAGGUCUCUGGGCCGAUACUGACGCUGAGGAGCGAAAGCGUGGGGAGCAAACAGG
rnacentral:rRNA from 1 species